CCGCUUCUGCCAUGUUUCUGUUUCAGGAGUUGAUCGCCACUUGUUCGGCCUUUACGUGGUGUCCAAGUAUUUGGAACAAGAUUCGCCCUUCCUAAUUGAGGCUCUGAAAGAACCUUGGAAAUUAUCAACAAGUCAAACCGCAACACAACAAC